UCCAAUAAUCUCUCUCUUUUAGCUCUGUUUUUGCUCUCUACCAUUUCCUGAGGGGAAUAUCUGGCUCUUUAGCGGCUUUAAGGAAAGCCAGGGACCCACUGACACAACCCAACACUUCAACGUCUAAGCAGGUGCUGAUUCCUUGUGACUUGAAGAGUCAACUGAGCUGAGGAAGACCAUAAGAUGUGGUUGAAAGCUCUGGAAAAAGCUUGUUUCUGAAGUUGGAUGGUCGAAUCUUCAUCUCGGCAAACUCGAUUGAGUGCUCGUGGCCUUUCCAGUGGAACCAGUUCACGCCCUGGA